rnacentral:piRNA from 1 species
AGGAGGCAAACCCAGAGAAAAGAGAG